AAUAAUGUAAGAAAAACAUCAUAAGGGGUCAUCCACACUAUAAUGAUUAUUUAAUAUUACAUCUUGACAAUAUGAUUUUUUACAAUAAACUUGCUGUAGAUAAUUAAUCAUUGAAUGCUGCACAACAAGAUCUAACCUCAUGGGUAGUCAAUAACAAGGAAAGGAAGUUAUAUAUUUUGGUUAUCAAUCACCCCUAUGUGUUAACGGAGGUGAAUUGAAUAAAUAAUUUGUAGACAGACACAUCCUAAGAAAGGCACAGUUUAUAGAUACCUGCCAUCAUUCUAGAGAUCUGGACAUGGUAGUUUAAUCAAUAUUUCAUUAUAUAAUCAGAUUCUUUCCAUCCAUUGGUUUUGAAUGAAUAUCUAUUUUGGCUGUGCUAAAGAUAGGAUCUGGAUGGUCCUCUAGCUAAUUUAAAACAUUGGCAAGACUCAUGAAAGAUUUUUCAAGCAGCCACUAAUGUUAUUUUUCCCUUCAUACGCUGUUGCAAAUUACAAAUGUUCAUCGUCUAUAUAUAUCCGAUAGGGUAACAGUCCUUUGCUAUUCAGCAAGUCCAGAGAUAAUUAUGCAGAAAUUAAUAUGACAAUUAUACUCCAUAUAUUCUGGAUGUAAUUUAUUUUAUUUUAUUUUUUUAUUAGGGAUAUUUAUAAUAUUUCAGAUUGCAAAGUAUACCAAUAUAUGACUUUAGCCCCUGGAGAAGUGUUCAAGAAUAUCUCUUUUACGAUUUUCAUUUUGGCUACAUUUCAAGAAUGGAAUUUCAGUGGAUGCUUUAAUUUUUAUAUUUAAUGUCCUUCUUAAAUAAAAACGACCGUCAAAUAUGUUGGAAUCAUCGAGACGCAUAUUGGUCGUGUCUCGAUAAGGGAAAAUCUGAAUCUGAAUGUGAAAUGCUUAGGAAGUUAUAUGAAGCGUAUUGCCCAUCGCAAUGGAGAACUCCUCGUUCUAUCUUACAGGUGAAGCAUUUUGACCGGAAACGAGAGUACCUGAAAUUCAAGGAGCAAAUCGAGAACAACGGGUACGUUCCAGAAAAUCCGAAGACCAAUGCACAGUAGCAGUAAUUCACUAAU